rnacentral:rRNA from 1 species
GAUCCUGGCUUAGGAUGAACGCUGGCGGCGUGCCUAAUACAUGCAAGUGAAACGGGUAUCUUCGGAUACCAGUCGCGGACGGGUGAGUAAUACAUAGGCAACCUGCCUUUAUGAGGGGGAUAACCGAGGGAAACUUUGGCUAAUACCGCAUGAAGACUCUAAGGCAUCUUAGAGGGAUAAAAGUUGGGAAACAACGCAUGAAGAUGGGCUUAUGGCGCAUUAGCUAGUUGGUGAGAUAGAAGCCCACCAAGGUAAUGAUGCGUAGCCGACCUGAGAGGGUGAACGGCCACAUUGGGACUGAGACACGGCCCAAACUCCUACGGGAGGCAGCAGUAGGGAAUUUUCGGCAAUGGGGGGAACCCUGACCGAGCAACGCCGCGUGAAAGGAAGAAGGUUUUCGGAUUGUAAACUUCUGUUAUAAGGGAAGAACGGAUUGGAUAGGGAAUGAUCUGAUAGUGACGGUACCUUAUUAGAAAGCCACGGCUAACUACGUGCCAGCCGCAGC